rnacentral:rRNA from 1 species
UUUACAAUGGAGAGUUUGAUCCUGGCUCAGGAUGAACGCUAGCGGCAGGCUUAACACAUGCAAGUCGAGGGGCAGCAGGGGUAGCAAUACCCGCUGGCGACCGGCAAACGGGUGCGGAACACGUACGCAAUCUACCAUUAUCUGGGGCAUAGCCCGAAGAAAUUCGGAUUAAUACCCCAUAAUUUAUUUAGGUGGCAUCACCUGGAUAUUAAAACUCCGGUGGAUAAUGAUGAGCGUGCGUCCCAUUAGCUAGUUGGUAGGGUAACGGCCUACCAAGGCGACGAUGGGUAGCUGGUGUGAGAGCACGACCAGCCACACGGGCACUGAGACACGGGCCCGACUCCUAC